AAAGAAAGAGGGACUGAGGGAAGUUGGUCUUCUGGAGGUUGCUGGUUGGUUGGUUGGUUGUUGGUGGUCUUUCCUCUGGGAGUUUGAAAGAGACACACUUGGAGUGGAGCCUGCUGGAGUUGAGGCUGAUAAAAGAAUCUGCUGAUUGAACUGACAACAUGAUCUGAGAUUUUAUGUGUUGGAAACUUCUUGUGGGAAUAUUCCUCUAUCAACACAAAUUAAAAAUUAAGCUACCCAGUACCACUACAGAGCCUGUACUGCAAAGAGAUCAAAUGAAAAAGGAAAGUCCUGUGUGAUCAAAAGAAAAUUAUAGCAGCAAUUUUUUUCAUAAUGGCAAAUAAUUUGAAAAUUUGGGGAUGUCCAUCAACUGUAAAACAGUUGAACAAAUUCUGAGUCACCAAUUCAGCAAAACUGAGUAUAUCCUCUCAGGGGGAAAAUGGACAUUGAAUAAGAUAGAAGAUUUCCAAGCAUACCUGAGGAAUGAGCUGGACCUAAAAAAAAAGGAAUUGAAAUCCAAACACCAGACACAAGAGAAGACCAAAUAUUCUAAAAUUUAAAAAAAGACUUCUGUUGGAGGAAUAACAUUUUUAGAUCAAUGUACUUUUCUAGGGAAGCUAAAACCCAUGCAGAAAGAGUUGCGUUCAUUGAGAGUGGAGAAUGCACAGCUGGCCUGAUAAGAUAGCAUGAAAACAACCUUGUUUUCUUCAGAUAUUUGAUCCUUUAAAGAUUGAUGCCACUAUAGAUUCCCCCAGAGAAUUGGAGCCAAGACACAUUACUCUGACCUAAGUAUGAUAUUUAACCUUAUAUUGAACUCUGAAAACUUCAUAGCAAAUGUUUCAAACCUUUGUUAUCAAGCACCAUUGCAUGUCUCUUAACAUCCUCUGCAAGUUCUGCGGUUAAUGACUUUUAUGCUAAUUAGUUGACAAAACCCUACAAAACAUACUGUUGGACAUCUAUAUGGGAUCUUAUCACAAACAGGGUGUCAUAAGAUCUCCAGAUUUAAUUUUCCAAAAUUAAAAUUUGGUUCUUCAGCUCAUAAUUAUGCCCCAGAGAUUUCUUUAUUCAAAUAUUACUCCAAAAGACUUUUAAUGAAAAAUGCUAUUGACUGCCAGAAAAAGGACUGAGAGUCUGAAUGAAGUUUGAAGCAUACUAUUUUUCACUUUCUUUUUCUUUUUUCAUGUGUGAUAUGUGCCUUCCACUGCAUAACAAGUAUGGAAAUGUUUCACAGGAUAGCAUAUGUAUAACCUAUAUCAAAUUGCUUACCAUCUAGGAGGGAGGAGAGAAUUUGGAACUCAGAAUGUUAGAAAAUGAAUAUCAAAAAUUAUUACACAUAAUUGGAAAAAUGAAAUAUUACCCAAUAAAAACAUUUUU
rnacentral:lncRNA from 1 species